rnacentral:rRNA from 1 species
UACGUAGGGGCCGAGCGUUGUCCGGAGUUAUUGGGCGUAAAGCGCGCGCAGGCGGCUUCGCGCGUCCGACGUGAAAGCCCCCGGCUUAACCGGGGAGGGUCGUUGGGUACGGCGGAGCUUGAGGGCGGGAGAGGGUAGUGGAAUUCCCGGUGUAGCGGUGAAAUGCGUAGAGAUCGGGAGGAACACCAGUGGCGAAGGCGGCUACCUGGACCAGAACUGACGAUCAGGUUCGAAAGCGUGGGGAGCAAACAGG